GCCAUCACUGGAUGCUGCCUGUAGGACUCACAUGCCUGGAACGCAAAACUCCUUGAACGUAACCUAUUUAGGAAGAGUCAAGAGGGGAAAGGGAAUAGCAGGCUGUGUAAAACGGGCUGUUAUCUCCCUCUGAGUCACUGGACAUCCUCUCCCUUCCCCUCUUCUCCUCCCCUGCUCCCCCCCGUGCAGUUUGCACUCUGGUUUCGGGGGAGUUAUGAUCAGAGAACGUGGUGCUGGGAGAAAACCAGGGGGAGACAGGAGCAUGACGGCACCACCGGCUGCUUUGGUCCCAGCAGCUGGCGGGUUUCCCUGGAGCCUGCACGCCUGUGGCUGUAACAGCACGAAAUGUCCUUCACACAGGAGUGUGGCAUUGACAGUUUUCCCCUUUCUUCCCCAUGGGUUCAUUGGAAAUGGCUGAGGAAAACAGCGAUCAGCCAGUUUAUGUGACACUCUCUCAGAGCCUGCCUUCCAGUUGUGCAAAGUCUGUGAUUCUGGACACAUGUGGACAGAGGAGGGGGUGCCCUUGCCAACAGGAGCCAUUGGCUUCUUGUAUUAUCAAAGCACCCAAGCUCUUGGAUGUCUGAACCAGUGGAAGACAAAUGCAGCUUUCCUUAAAGUACCAGUCUUUAAAAAAUUAAUUAAUAUGUCUCACAGCAUAAAUAAACAUGUCAAGAUACAUAGGUAUUAAUACA
rnacentral:lncRNA from 1 species